UGCACAUGUUUAUGAUGUCAUGUGUAGUUCAAAACUUUGAUGGUGUUAAAGUACCAUUUCAGGUUCUUCCUUUUUGUGGUUAGAUUCAAUGUAAUAUCACUUUUGUGGGAAUUUCCCUGAGAUAGACCAGAGCUUAAAUAAGUAAAGUUUCCUUACAAUGAAAUAUCUUUGUGGAUUCUGAUUUAGUUUUAUUCUUUUAUGCAAAUUGAUAAAAAAUAAACAUUUAUGGAGCAGUAGAUUUAAAUAAAAGUUUAACAGAAUGGAAUAAGUUUCUUGAGAAACUUAUUAGCAAUAAUAUAUGGUUUAUAUUUUAUAAUAUUAAGGCUCAUAA
rnacentral:lncRNA from 1 species